GCAGCAGUAGCUCAGCGCCAGAGCAUCGGCCUUGUAAGCCGACCGCCGGAGGUUAAAAUCCCCCCUGCUGCC
rnacentral:tRNA from 1 species